ACACCCAUCAAGCCUGGCUUGGUAUUGGGCGACGGGACCUCCCCGCGCCCCGAUUUCGCCGGCUGGACGACCCUGAUCUCGCAAGCGUAGCACAAUCUCGCUGGUGGGACGGGCGGCCACGCCGUUAACCUCAAUCAAACA
rnacentral:misc_RNA from 2 species